UUAAGCGACUAAGCGUACACGGUGGAUGCCCUGGCAGUCAGAGGCGAUGAAGGGCGUGCUAAUCUGCGAUAAGCGCCGGUAAGGUGAUAUGAACCGUUAUAACCGGCGAUACCCGAAUGGGGAAACCCAGUGUGACUCGUCACACUAUCAUUAACUGAAUCCAUAGGUUAAUGAGGCGAACCGGGGGAACUGAAACAUCUAAGUACCCCGAGGAAAAGAAAUCAACCGAGAUUCCCCCAGUAGCGGCGAGCGAACGGGGAGGAGCCCAGAGCCUGAAUCAGCAUGUGUGUUAGUGGAAGCGUCUGGAAAGGCGCGCGAUACAGGGUGACAGCCCCGUACACAAAAGCGCAUGUGCUGUGAGCUCGAUGAGUAGGGCGGGACACGUGGUAUCCUGUCUGAAUAUGGGGGGACCAUCCUCCAAGGCUAAAUACUCCUGACUGACCGAUAGUGAACCAGUACCGUGAGGGAAAGGCGAAAAGAACCCCGGCGAGGGGAGUGAAAAAGAACCUGAAACCGUGUACGUACAAGCAGUGGGAGCACAGGUUUACCUGUGUGACUGCGUACCUUUUGUAUAAUGGGUCAGCGACUUAUAUUCUGUAGCAAGGUUAACCGUAUAGGGGAGCCGUAGGGAAACCGAGUCUUAACCGGGCGUUAAGUUGCAGGGUAUAGACCCGAAACCCGGUGAUCUAGCCAUGGGCAGGUUGAAGGUUGGGUAACACUAACUGGAGGACCGAACCGACUAAUGUUGAAAAAUUAGCGGAUGACCUGUGGCUGGGGGUGAAAGGCCAAUCAAACCGGGAGAUAGCUGGUUCUCCCCGAAAGCUAUUUAGGUAGCGCCUCGUGAAUUCAUCUCCGGGGGUAGAGCACUGUUUCGGCUAGGGGGCCAUCCCGGCUUACCAACCCGAUGCAAACUGCGAAUACCGGAGAAUGUUAUCACGGGAGACACACGGCGGGUGCUAACGUCCGUCGUGAAGAGGGAAACAACCCAGACCGCCAGCUAAGGUCCCAAAGUCAUGGUUAAGUGGGAAACGAUGUGGGAAGGCCCAGACAGCCAGGAUGUUGGCUUAGAAGCAGCCAUCAUUUAAAGAAAGCGUAAUAGCUCACUGGUCGAGUCGGCCUGCGCGGAAGAUGUAACGGGGCUAAACCAUGCACCGAAGCUGCGGCAGCGACACUGUGUGUUGUUGGGUAGGGGAGCGUUCUGUAAGCCUGUGAAGGUGGCCUGUGAGGGUUGCUGGAGGUAUCAGAAGUGCGAAUGCUGACAUAAGUAACGAUAAAGCGGGUGAAAAGCCCGCUCGCCGGAAGACCAAGGGUUCCUGUCCAACGUUAAUCGGGGCAGGGUGAGUCGACCCCUAAGGCGAGGCCGAAAGGCGUAGUCGAUGGGAAACGGGUUAAUAUUCCCGUACUUGGUGUUACUGCGAAGGGGGGACGGAGAAGGCUAUGUUGGCCGGGCGACGGUUGUCCCGGUUUAAGCGUGUAGGUGUGUGUUCCAGGUAAAUCCGGUUCACUUUAACACUGAGGCGUGAUGACGAGGCACUACGGUGCUGAAGCAACAAAUGCCCUGCUUCCAGGAAAAGCCUCUAAGCAUCAGGUAACAUCAAAUCGUACCCCAAACCGACACAGGUGGUCAGGUAGAGAAUACCAAGGCGCUUGAGAGAACUCGGGUGAAGGAACUAGGCAAAAUGGUGCCGUAACUUCGGGAGAAGGCACGCUGACACGUAGGUGAAGUGAUUUACUCAUGGAGCUGAAGUCAGUCGAAGAUACCAGCUGGCUGCAACUGUUUAUUAAAAACACAGCACUGUGCAAACACGAAAGUGGACGUAUACGGUGUGACGCCUGCCCGGUGCCGGAAGGUUAAUUGAUGGGGUCAGCGCAAGCGAAGCUCCUGAUCGAAGCCCCGGUAAACGGCGGCCGUAACUAUAACGGUCCUAAGGUAGCGAAAUUCCUUGUCGGGUAAGUUCCGACCUGCACGAAUGGCGUAAUGAUGGCCAGGCUGUCUCCACCCGAGACUCAGUGAAAUUGAACUCGCUGUGAAGAUGCAGUGUACCCGCGGCAAGACGGAAAGACCCCGUGAACCUUUACUAUAGCUUGACACUGAACAUUGAGCCUUGAUGUGUAGGAUAGGUGGGAGGCUUUGAAGCGUGGACGCCAGUCUGCGUGGAGCCGACCUUGAAAUACCACCCUUUAAUGUUUGAUGUUCUAACGUGGACCCGUAAUCCGGGUUGCGGACAGUGUCUGGUGGGUAGUUUGACUGGGGCGGUCUCCUCCUAAAGAGUAACGGAGGAGCACGAAGGUUGGCUAAUCCUGGUCGGACAUCAGGAGGUUAGUGCAAUGGCAUAAGCCAGCUUGACUGCGAGCGUGACGGCGCGAGCAGGUGCGAAAGCAGGUCAUAGUGAUCCGGUGGUUCUGAAUGGAAGGGCCAUCGCUCAACGGAUAAAAGGUACUCCGGGGAUAACAGGCUGAUACCGCCCAAGAGUUCAUAUCGACGGCGGUGUUUGGCACCUCGAUGUCGGCUCAUCACAUCCUGGGGCUGAAGUAGGUCCCAAGGGUAUGGCUGUUCGCCAUUUAAAGUGGUACGCGAGCUGGGUUUAGAACGUCGUGAGACAGUUCGGUCCCUAUCUGCCGUGGGCGCUGGAGAACUGAGGGGGGCUGCUCCUAGUACGAGAGGACCGGAGUGGACGCAUCACUGGUGUUCGGGUUGUCAUGCCAAUGGCACUGCCCGGUAGCUAAAUGCGGAAGAGAUAAGUGCUGAAAGCAUCUAAGCACGAAACUUGCCCCGAGAUGAGUUCUCCCUGAGACUUAGAGUCUCCUGAAGGAACGUUGAAGACGACGACGUUGAUAGGCCGGGUGUGUAAGCGCAGCGAUGCGUUGAGCUAACCGGUACUAAUGAACCGUGAGGCUUAACCUU
rnacentral:rRNA from 1 species